rnacentral:rRNA from 1 species
UGGCGGCAGGCCUAACCAUGCAAGUCGAGCGGCAGCGGAAAGAACUUGGCUACUUUGCCGGAGAGCGGCAGACGGGAGAGUAGUGUCUGGAACACUGCCUGAUGGAGGGAGAUAACUACUGGACACGGUAUCUAAUACCGCAUAGUGUCACAAGACCAAAGAGGGAGACCUUCGGCCCUCUUGCCAUCAUAUGUGCCCAUAUGGUAUUAUCUAAUAGGUGGGGUAGCGUCUCCCCUACGACACUAUCCCUAUGUGGUCUGAGAAGAUGACCACCCACUGUGGAUCUGACACACGCUCCACACUCCUACGGGAGGCAGCAGUGGAGAAUAUUGCACAGUGGGCGCAGCCUGAUGCAGCCAUGCCGCGUGUAUGAAGAAGGCCUUCGGGUUGUAAAGUACUUUCAGCGGGGAGGAAGGCGAUAAGGUUAAUAACCUUGUCGAUUGACGUUACCCGCAGAAGAAGCACCGGCUAACUCCGUGCCAGCAGCCGCGGUAAUACGGAGGGUGCAAGCGUUAAUCGGAAUUACUGGGGCGUAAAGCGCACGCAGGCGGUCUGUCAAGUCGGAUGUGAAAUCCCCGGGCUCAACCUGGGAACUGCAUUCGAAACUGGCAGGCUAGAGUCUUGUAGAGGGGGGUAGAAUUCCAGGUGUAGCGGUGAAAUGCGUAAAGAUCUGGAGGAAUACCGGUGGCGAAGGCGGCCCCCUGGACAAAGACUGACGCUCUAGUGCAAAAGCGUGGGAAGUAACAGGAUUUAGAUACCCCUGGUAGUCCACGCCGUAAACGAUGUCGACUUGGAGGUUGUGCCCUUGAGGCGUGGCUUCCGGAGCUAACGCGUUAAGUCGACCGCCUGGGGAGUACGGCCGCAAGGUUAAAACUCAAAUGAAUUGACGGGGGCCCGCACAAGCGGUGGAGCAUGUGGUUUAAUUCGAUGCAACGCGAAGAACCUUACCUACUUCUUGACAUCCAGAGAACUUUCCAGAGAUGGAUUGGUGCCUUCGGGAACUCUGAGACAGGUGCUGCAUGGCUGUCGUCAGCUCGUGUUGUGAAAUGUUGGGUUAAGUCCCGCAACGAGCGCAACCCUUAUCCUUUGUUGCCAGCGGUUCGGCCGGGAACUCAAAGGAGACUGCCAGUGAUAAACUGGAGGAAGGUGGGGAUGACGUCAAGUCAUCAUGGCCCUUACGAGUAGGGCUACACACGUGCUACAAUGGCGCAUACAAAGAGAAGCGACCUCGCGAGAGCAAGCGGACCUCAUAAAGUGCGUCGUAGUCCGGAUUGGAGUCUGCAACUCGACUCCAUGAAGUCGGAAUCGCUAGUAAUCGUAGAUCAGAAUGCUACGGUGAAUACGUUCCCGGGCCUUGUACACACCGCCCGUCACACCAUGGGAGUGGGUUGCAAAAGAAGUAGGUAGCUUAACCUUCGGGAGGGCGCUUACCACUUUGUGAUUCAUGACUGGGGUGAAGUCGUAACAAGGUAACCGUAGGGGAACCUGCGGCUGGAUCACCU